CUGCUUUUGUGCUCCAGAGUCACAUAUAAGUGAAUAUAAUUGCGUUGACACGUGUUGUAAAGGUCACGUGAGCUCGUUUAAUGACUUUUAUUUUGUCGUUUUGACACAGGGUUUGAUUUAUGAUUUUAUUGAUAUGUUGCAGUAUUAAUCAGUGCAUCGGUGUCUGAGAUGUAGUUGUCUAGUGAUCUUUUCAGGUAGAUGUUGUAUUUCUGAGAGGAGCGCAGAAGGCUUGAAUACGGUUCUGAUCUCGGUGUGAGCUCGAUGGUGGAUCCGGUGUUUCCUCUCGCACCGAUCCCCGUUCAGCUUUUGAAGGUUAUUCUGCUCUGCACCACAUCAACUCUGUCCUUCUCUUUCAGCUCGCUGCCCUAGACUUGAACUCCGCUGAUGUUCAAGGAGUCCCUGGAAGGCGCUACAUUCCACCUCAUUUAAGGAACAAAGAAGCUUCCAAAAAUGAUUCUCCCGGAGGAUGGGAUAACGGACGCAGCAAUGGCUUCGUGAACGGCUGCCAUGAUGGCCGAGACAACCGCAUGAAUGGGGGCAACAGUUUCGGUGGCCGCGGCUCCAUGCGCAACGACCGCGGAGGAAGAGGAGGCUUCAGAGGUAAAACCAGCGGCUCCUACAACCCCAUCCAGCCAAUGCAGAG